rnacentral:snRNA from 1 species
GUGCUUGCUUCGGCAGCACAUAUACUAAAAUUGGAACAAUACAGAGGAGAUUAGCAUGGCCCCUAGCGCAAAGGA